GUGGGGAAUUUUGGACAAUGGGCGCAAGCCUGAUCCAGCAAUGCCGCGUGCAGGAAGAAGGCCUUCGGGUUGUAAACUGCUUUUGUACGGAACGAAACGGUCCUGGUUAAUACCUGGGGCUAAUGACGGUACCGUAAGAAUAAGCACCGGCUAACUACGUGCCAGCAGCCGCGGUAAUACGUAGGGUGCGAGCGUUAAUCGGAAUUACUGGGCGUAAAGCGUGCGCAGGCGGUGCUGUAAGACAGGCGUGAAAUCCCCGGGCUCAACCUGGGAAUUGCGCUUGUGACUGCAGUGCUGGAGUACGGCAGAGGGGGAUGGAAUUCCGCGUGUAGCAGUGAAAUGCGUAGAUAUGCGGAGGAACACCGAUGGCGAAGGCAAUCCCCUGGGCCUGCACUGACGCUCAUGCACGAAAGCGUGGGGAGCAAACAGGAUUAGAUACCCUAGUAGUCC
rnacentral:rRNA from 1 species